AGAGUUCGAUCCUGGCUCAGGAUGAACGCUAGCUACAGGCUUAACACAUGCAAGUCGAGGGGCGGCGGGAUUGAAGCUUGCUUCAAUUGCCGGCGACCGGCGCACGGGUGAGUAACGCGUAUCCAACCUUCCGUACACUCAGGGAUAGCCUUUCGAAAGAAAGAUUAAUACCUGAUGGUAUCUUAAGCACACAUGUAAUUAAGACUAAAGAUUUAUCGGUGUACGAUGGGGAUGCGUUCCAUUAGGUAGUAGGCGGGGUAACGGCCCACCUAGCCAACGAUGGAUAGGGGUUCUGAGAGGGCGACCGGCCACAUUGGGACUGAGAUACGGCCCAG
rnacentral:rRNA from 1 species